GUCAGGUUGGCGCAGGGAGGAACAGCAGCAGCAGUGCCUUUGCCUGCCCCUUAGUGUGCAAAGCAUAGGCCAAGGAACAGGCCAAGGCUCUGCCUGAAUGACACACAGAAGCCUGAGAAGGGAGCAAAGGACCUCUCACCCCUGAAGUUCUGCUGUCCCAGAUCAAGACACCAAAACAAAUUCAUCUUCUGGGUCCUCUCCAGGAUGUUGUGACAAUCGAGGAGGAAAAAGAUAGUGGAUGUGCUUCCUAACCAGUAUGGCCAUGUCCAGAACAGUUGGUUCUCACUCACUCAUCUUUGAGCGUCUCCAGAGUGACCAUGUAGGUCCAGCUACCCCUGGAACGUGUUGGAGAGGCUGAACUCCCAGCCAGUAGCCAGCAGCACCCAGCAGACAUGGGAGUGAGCUUCUUAGAUGUCAGCCCAGUGGAGCCUUCAGAUGACCGCAGUCCCAGCCAACCUGACUGUCACUAUGUGAGACACUCCAAGUGACAACUGGCUAGUCAAGCCCUUCCCAAUCCUGACUUACCAAAUUAUGAGGGCACGGGGAAGCCACCUAGUGAGGCCGGCAGAGAGGACCCUGGGCUCUCAGAUGUCCUUGUGGAGCAGAGCUGCCGACUACCCAGAUGCCACUCACAUUUUAUGUAAGAGAGAAAGAGAGAAAUAAACUUCUGUCU